GCCAGUAUGGUGUAAUGGUUUGAAUAUUGAACUAUGACUCUAAGGAACAGUGUUCAAAUCCCUGUCCAGCCA